rnacentral:rRNA from 1 species
UACGGAGGAUCCAAGCGUUAUCCGGAUUUAUUGGGUUUAAAGGGUGCGUAGGCGGCUUAUUAAGUCAGGGGUGAAAGACGGUAGCUCAACUAUCGCAGUGCCCUUGAUACUGAUGGGCUUGAAUUGACUAGAGGUAGGCGGAAUGUGACAAGUAGCGGUGAAAUGCAUAGAUAUGUCAUAGAACACCGAUUGCGAAGGCAGCUUACUAUGGUCUUAUUGACGCUGAGGCACGAAAGCGUGGGGAUCAAACAGG